GCAAGUCGAGGGGUAAGGUCUCUUCGGAGAUACAGGACCGGCGCACGGGUGCGUAACGCGUAUGCAGUCUACCCACCGCUGGGGCAUAGCCCGAAGAAAUUCGGAUUAAUUCCCCAUAAUGCAGGGGUACCACCUGGUACUAUUUGCUAAAGAUUUAUCGGCAGUGGAUAAGCAUGCGUCUGAUUAGCUAGUUGGUGAGGUAACGGCUCACCAAGGCGAUGAUCAGUAGCGGGUCUGAGAGGAUGAUC
rnacentral:rRNA from 1 species